AAGAGUUUGAUCCUGGCUUAGGAUUAACGCUGGCGGCGCGCCUAAUACAUGCAAGUCGAACGGAAACCUUCGGGUUUUAGUGGCGAACGGGUGAGUAACACGUAAGCAACCUGCCUUUAAGACGUGGAUAACAAUUGGAAACAGUUGCUAAGACAGGAUAGGAAAUUAAGAGGCAUCUUUUAAUUUUUAAAAGACCUUUUUCGAAAGGUAUACUUAAAGAGGGGCUUGCGCCACAUUAGUUAGUUGGUAAGGUAAAGGCUUACCAAGACGAUGAUGUGUAGCUGGACUGAGAGGUCGAACAGCCACAUUGGGACUGAGACACGGCCCAAACUCCUACGGGAGGCAGCAGUAAGGAAUUUUUGGCAAUGGAGGAAACUCUGACCGAGCGACGUCGCGUGAACAAUGAAGUACUUCGGUAUGUAAAGUUCUUUUAUUGAAAAAGAAAAAAUAGUGGAAAAACUAUCUUGACAUUAUUCAAUGAAUAAGCCCCGGCUAAUUAUGUGCCAGCAGCCGCGGUAAUACAUAAGGGGCGAGCGUUAUCCGGAAUUAUUGGGCGUAAAGGGUGCGUAGGCGGUUUGAUAAGUCUAUAGUUUAAAUGCAGUGCUUAACGCUGUAGCGCUAUAGAAACUGUCUGACUAGAGUUAGAUAGAGGCAAGCGGAAUUCCAUGUGUAGCGGUAAAAUGCGUAAAUAUAUGGAGGAACACCAGAGGCGUAGGCGGCUUGCUGGGUCUUAACUGACGCUGAGGCACGAAAGCGUGGGGAGCAAACAGGAUUAGAUACCCUGGUAGUCCACGCCGUAAACGAUGAGUACUAAGUGUCGGGUUUCGGCUCGGUACUGAAGUUAACACAUUAAGUACUCCGCCUGAGUAGUACGUACGCAAGUAUGAAACUUAAAGGAAUUGACGGGACCCCGCACAAGCGGUGGAUCAUGUUGUUUAAUUCGAAGAUACACGAAAAACCUUACCAGGUCUUGACAUAAUUUUGCGACAUUAUAGAAAUAUAAUGAAGGUUAUCAGAAUUACAGGUGGUGCAUGGUUGUCGUCAGCUCGUGUCGUGAGAUGUUAGGUUAAGUCCUAAAACGAGCGCAACCCUUGUCGUUAGUUGCGACCACGUAAUGGUGAGCACUUUAGCGAGACUGCCAAUGAAAAAUUGGAGGAAGGUGAGGAUUACGUCAAAUCAUCAUGCCCCUUAUGAUCUGGGCUACAAACGUGAUACAAUGGCUGUUACAAAGAGUAGCUACAACGUGAGUUUUUAGCCAAUCUCAAAAAAACAGUCUCAGUUCGGAUUGAAGUCUGCAACUCGACUUCAUGAAGUUGGAAUCGCUAGUAAUCGCGAAUCAGCAUGUCGCGGUGAAUACGUUCUCGGGGUUUGUACACACCGCCCGUCAAACCACGAAAGUUGAUAAUACCCGAAAGCGGUCGCCUAACUUCGUCAGAAGAGGGAGCCGUCUAAGGUAGGAUCGAUGAUUGGGGUUAAGUCGUAACAAGGUAUCCCUACCGGAAGGUGGGGAUGGAUCACCUCCUUUCU
rnacentral:rRNA from 1 species